UCCGGUAUGGUCUAGUGGCAAGGAUACCUGGCUUUCACCCAGGAGGCUCUGGUUCGAUUCCCGGUACCGGAA
rfam:Zootermopsis nevadensis contig16959, whole genome shotgun sequence.